rnacentral:tRNA from 1 species
GGGGCUGUAGCGCAGCUGGUAGCGCACCGCACUGGCAGUGCGGGGGUCACGGGUUCGAAUCCCGUCAGCUCCACCA